GGACCCGCACAAGCGGUGGAGCAUGUGGUUUAAUUCGACGAUACGCGAAGAACCUUACCAAGACUUGACAUCCGCAGAAUCUUCUAGAGAUAGAGGAGUGCCUUCGGGAACUGCGUGACAGGUGGUGCAUGGCUGUCGUCAGCUCGUGUCGUGAGAUGUUGGUUAAGUCCCGCAACGAGCGAAACCCUUGUCUUAUGUUACCAGCACGUUAUGGUGGGGACUCAUAAGAGACUGCCCGUGGAAAGCGGGAGGAAGGUGAGGACGACGUCAAGUCAUCAUGCCCCUUACGUCUUGGCCACACACAUGCUACAAUGGCCGGUACAAUGAGUCGCGAAGCCGCGAGGUGGAGCC
rnacentral:rRNA from 1 species